rnacentral:rRNA from 1 species
CACGUAGGGGACGAGCGUUGUCCGGAAUCAUUGGGCGUAAAGAGCGUGUAGGCGGUCCGGUAAGUCCGCUGUGAAAGUCGGGGGCUCAACCCUCGAAUGCCGGUGGAUACUGUCGGGCUAGAGUGCGGAAGAGGCGAGUGGAAUUCCUGGUGUAGCGGUGGAAUGCGCAGAUAUCAGGAGGAACACCGAUGGCGAAGGCAGCUCGCUGGGACGGUACUGACG